rnacentral:rRNA from 1 species
GAUGAACGCUGGCGGCGUGCCUAAUACAUGCAAGUCGAGCGAACGGACGAGAAGCUUGCUUCUCUGAUGUUAGCGGCGGACGGGUGAGUAACACGUGGAUAACCCACCUAUAAGACUGGGAUAACUUCGGGAAACCGGAGCUAAUACCGGAUAAUAUUUUGAACCGCAUGGUUCAAAAGUGAAAGACGGUCUUGCUGUCACUUAUAGAUGGAUCCGCGCUGCAUUAGCUAGUUGGUAAGGUAACGGCUUACCAAGGCAACGAUGCAUAGCCGACCUGAGAGGGUGAUCGGCCACACUGGAACUGAGACACGGUCCAGACUCCUACGGGAGGCAGCAGUAGGGAAUCUUCCGCAAUGGGCGAAAGCCUGACGGAGCAACGCCGCGUGAGUGAUGAAGGUCUUCGGAUCGUAAACCUCUGUUAUUAGGGAAGAACAUAUGUGUAAGUAACUGUGCACAUCUUGACGGUACCUAAUCAGAAAGCCACGGCUAACUACGUG